rnacentral:rRNA from 1 species
GACGAACGCUGGCGGCGUGCCUAACACAUGCAAGUCGUGCGAGAAAGUUCCUUCGGGAGCGAGUAAAGCGGCGCACGGGUGAGUAGCACGUAGGUAACCUGCCCCCCAGUCUGGAACAACUAGAGGAAACUCUAGCUAAUGCCGGAUGAGACCACGAUCCCUUCGGGGGUUGCGGCCCAAAAGAUGGCCUCUACUUGUAAGCUAUCGCUGAGGGAUGGGCCUGCGGCCAUUAGCUUGUUGGUGAGGUAACGGCGUCACCAAGGCUGUGAUGGCUAGCUGGUCUGAGAGGAUGACCAGCCACACUGGGACUGAGACACGGCCCAGACUCCUACGGAGGCAGCAGUGGGGAAUAUUGCGCAAUGGGCG